AACGAACGCUGGCGGCAUGCCUAACACAUGCAAGUCGAACGAGACCUUCGGGUCUAGUGGCGCACGGGUGCGUAACGCGUGGGAACCUGCCUUUAGGUUCGGAAUAACUCAGAGAAAUUUGAGCUAAUACCGGAUGAUGUCUUCGGACCAAAGAUUUAUCGCCUUUAGAUGGGCCCGCGUUGGAUUAGCUAGUUGGUGGGGUAAAGGCCUACCAAGGCGACGAUCCAUAGCUGGUCUGAGAGGAUGAUCAGCCACACUGGGACUGAGACACGGCCCAGACUCAGACGGGAGGAAGCAGUGGGGAAUAUUGGACAAUGGGCGAAAGCCUGAUCCAGAAAUGCAGCGUGAGUGAUGAAGGCCUUAGGGUUGUAAAGAUCUUUUACCCGAGAUGAUAAUGAAAGUAUAGGGAGAAUAAGAACCGGCUAACUCCGUG
rnacentral:rRNA from 1 species